AGCAGCCGCGGUAAUUCCAGCUCCAGUAGCGUAUAUUAAAGUUGUUGCAGUUAAAAAGCUCGUAGUUGAAUUUCGGGAUCAGUACGUUGGUCGUGCCUUGGUACGUACUGGCGUCACUGGUUCCUACCUUCUGACGAACCGUCAUGUCAUUAAUUUGGUGUGGCGGGGAAUCAGGGCUGUUACUUUGAAAAAAAUUAGAGUGUUUUAAAGCAGGCUCGCGCUUGAAUACAUUAGCAUGGAAUAAUGAAAUAGGACGUUCGAUCCUAUUUUGUUGGUUUCUAGGAUUGACGUAAUGAUUAAUAGGGAUAGUUGGGGGCAUUAGUAUUCAAUUGUCAGAGGUGAAAUUCUUGGAUUUAUUGAAGACUAACUACUGCGAAAGCAUUUGCCAAGGAUGUUUUCAUUAAUCAAGAACGAAAGUUAGGGGAUCGAAGACGAUCAGAUACCGUCGUAGUCUUAACCAUAAACUAUGCCGACUAGGGAUCGGAUGAUGUUAAUUUUUAAUGACUCAUUCGGCGCCUUA
rnacentral:rRNA from 1 species